rnacentral:rRNA from 1 species
UACGUAGGGUGCGAGCGUUGUCCGGAAUUAUUGGGCGUAAAGCGCACGUAGGCGGAUGUGUCAGUCAGGGGUGAAAUCCCGGAGCUCAACUUCGGAACUGCCCUUGAUACAGCACGUCUUGAGUCCGGAAGAGGUGGGUGGAAUUCCUAGUGUAGAGGUGAAAUUCGUAGAUAUUAGGAAGAACACCGGUGGCGAAGGCGGCCCACUGGUCCGGUACUGACGCUGAGGUGCGAAAGCGUGGGGAGCAAACAGG